UCGAGAAUCUUCGGCAAUGGGCGCAAGCCUGACCGAGCGACGCCGCGUGGAGGACGAAGGCCUUCGGGUUGUAAACUCCUGUCGAGGGGGAAGAAGGGGUGUCAAAGCCCUUGACUGAUCCCUGGAGGAAGCACGGGCUAAGUUCGUGCCAGCAGCCGCGGUAAGACGAACCGUGCGAACGUUAUUCGGAAUCACUGGGCUUAAAGCGCGUGUAGGCGGGUCGGCGCGUCGGUCGCUGAAAUCCCCCGGCUCAACCGGGGAAGGGGCGCCGAGACGGCCGGCCUGGAGGGACGUAGGGGGGGCUGGAACUUCCGGUGGAGCGGUGAAAUGCGUUGAGAUCGGAAGGAACGCCCGUGGCGAAAGCGAGCCCCUGGACGUCUACUGACGCUGAGACGCGAAAGCCAGGGGAGCGAACGG
rnacentral:rRNA from 1 species